rnacentral:lncRNA from 1 species
UUCUUCUCGUAGUGAGUUUUUUAAAUUAUAUAAACUAUCACAUGUACUUUUAUCUAAAUUUUCUAAGGUUUUUCUAUCCAUAUUAAUUUUUCUUUUAGGUCUUCCAUUAUUUUCCUAAUUCGGUUUCUAUAAUUAAUUUCAUUAUUUAGAUUUUCUUGAUUUUCUCUAGUUUGUCUAAUAUAUUCUAACAUUUUUUAAUCUGAAUAAUAUCCUUCUGGGUAAAUUUCUUCGUAUAACUGUUCUAGACAAUUUGCAGUUUCAAUUUCAUAGUUUAUUACUUCUUCUAAUAUUAUUUUCUUGAUAUCUAUUAUUUCUAUAUCUUUAAGUAUAUAUAAGAUUAAAACUUUAAGAUAAUCUAGAUAAU